rnacentral:rRNA from 1 species
UACGUAGGGGGCAAGCGUUGUCCGGAUUCAUUGGGCGUAAAGAGCGUGUAGGCGGCCAGGUAGGUCGGUUGUGAAAACUGGAGGCUCAACCUUCAGAGGUCGACCGAAACCAUCUGGCUAGAGUCCGGGAGAGGAGAGUGGAAUUCCUGGUGUAGCGGUGAAAUGCGCAGAUAUCAGGAGGAACACCGGUGGCGAAGGCGGCUACCUGGACAGAAACUGACGCUGAGGCGCGAAAGCUAGGGGAGCAAACAGG